rnacentral:rRNA from 2 species
GGGUGAUCUGCCCUGCACUCUGGGAUAAGCCUGGGAAACUGGGUCUAAUACCGGAUAGGACCACACACUUCAUGGUGAGUGGUGCAAAGCUUUUGCGGUGUGGGAUGAGCCCGCGGCCUAUCAGCUUGUUGGUGGGGUAAUGGCCCACCAAGGCGACGACGGGUAGCCGGCCUGAGAGGGUGACCGGCCACACUGGGACUGAGAUACGGCCCAGACUCCUACGGGAGGCAGCAGUGGGGAAUAUUGCACAAUGGGCGCAAGCCUGAUGCAGCGACGCCGCGUGAGGGAUGACGGCCUUCGGGUUGUAAACCUCUUUCAGUAGGGACGAAGCGAAAGUGACGGUACCUACAGAAGAAGGACCGGCCAACUACGUGCCAGCAGCCGCGGUAAUACGUAGGGUCCGAGCGUUGUCCGGAAUUACUGGGCGUAAAGAGCUCGUAGGUGGUUUGUCGCGUUGUUCGUGAAAACUCACAGCUUAACUGUGGGCGUGCGGGCGAUACGGGNNNNNCGGUCGCAAGACUAAAACUCAAAGGAAUUGACGGGGGCCCGCACAAGCGGCGGAGCAUGUGGAUUAAUUCGAUGCAACGCGAAGAACCUUACCUGGGUUUGACAUGCACAGGACGUACCUAGAGAUAGGUAUUCCCUUGUGGCCUGUGUGCAGGUGGUGCAUGGCUGUCGUCAGCUCGUGUCGUGAGANNNNNAACCCUUGUCCUAUGUUGCCAGCGGGUAAUGCCGGGGACUCGUAGGAGACUGCCGGGGUCAACUCGGAGGAAGGUGGGGAUGACGUCAAGUCAUCAUGCCCCUUAUGUCCAGGGCUUCACACAUGCUACAAUGGCCAGUACAGAGGGCUGCGAAGCCGUAAGGUGGAGCGAAUCCCUUAAAGCUGGUCUCAGUUCGGAUUGGGGUCUGCAACUCGACCCCAUGAAGUCGGAGUCGCUAGUAAUCGCAGAUCAGCAACGCUGCGGUGAAUACGUUCCCGGGCCUUGUACACACCGCCCGUCACGUCAUGAAAGUCGGUAACACCCGAAGCCAGUGGCCUAACCUUUUGGAGGGAGCUGUCGAAGGUGGGAU